UACGAAGGGGGCUAGCGUUGCUCGGAAUCACUGGGCGUAAAGGGCGCGUAGGCGGCUCUUUAAGUUAGAGGUGAAAGCCUGGAGCUCAACUCCAGAACUGCCUUUAAUACUGGGGAUCUUGAGUUCGGGAGAGGUGAGUGGAACUGCGAGUGUAGAGGUGAAAUUCGUAGAUAUUCGCAAGAACACCAGUGGCGAAGGCGGCUCACUGGCCCGAUACUGACGCUGAGGCGCGAAAGCGUGGGGAGCAAACAGG
rnacentral:rRNA from 1 species